rnacentral:rRNA from 1 species
AGUGAACGCUGGCGGUAGGCCUAACACAUGCAAGUCGAACGGCAGCACAGUAGGAGCUUGCUCUUACGGGUGGCGAGUGGCGGACGGGUGGGGAAUACAUCGGAAUCUACUUUUUCGUGGGGGAUAACGUAGGGAAACUUACGCUAAUACCGCAUACGACCUACGGGUGAAAGCAGGGGAUCUUCGGACCUUGCGCGAUUGAAUGAGCCGAUGUCGGAUUAGCUAGUUGGCGGGGUAAAGGCCCACCAAGGCGACGAUCCGUAGCUGGUCUGAGAGGAUGAUCAGCCACACUGGAACUGAGACACGGUCCAGACUCCUACGGGAGGCAGCAGUGGGGAAUAUUGGACAAUGGGCGCAAGCCUGAUCCAGCCAUACCGCGUGGGUGAAGAAGGCCUUCGGGUUGUAAAGCCCUUUUGUUGGGAAAGAAAAGCAGCAGGUUAAUACCCCGCUGUUCUGACGGUACCCAAAGAAUAAGCAUCGGCUAACUUCGUG